AUUGAACGCUGGCGGCAUGCCUUACACAUGCAAGUCGAACGGUAACAGGUUAAGCUGACGAGUGGCGAACGGGUGAGUAAUGUAUCGGAACGUGCCCAGUCGUGGGGGAUAACUGCUCGAAAGAGCAGCUAAUACCGCAUACGACCUGAGGGUGAAAGCGGGGGAUCGCAAGACCUCGCGCGAUUGGAGCGGCCGAUAUCCGAUUAGGUAGUUGGUGGGGUAAAGGCCUACCAAGCCUACGAUCUGUAGCUGGUCUGAGAGGGCGACCAGCCACACUGGGACUGAGACACGGCCCAGACUCCUACGGGAGGCAGCAGUGGGGAAUUUUGGACAAUGGACGAAAGUCUGAUCCAGCCAUGCCGCGUGCGGGAAGAAGGCCUUCGGGUUGUAAACCGCUUUUGUCAGGGAAGAAAAGGUUCUGGUUAAUACCUGGGACUCAUGACGGUACCUGAAGAAUAAGCACCGGCUAACUACGUGCCAGCCGCCGCCGUAACAC
rnacentral:rRNA from 1 species